rnacentral:rRNA from 1 species
AGAGUUUGAUCCUGGCUCAGGAUGAACGCUGGCGGCGUGCCUAAUACAUGCAAGUCGAGCGAACCACUUCGGUGGUGAGCGGCGAACGGGUGAGUAACACGUAGGUGAUCUGCCCAUCAGACGGGGACAACGAUUGGAAACGAUCGCUAAUACCGGAUAGGACGAAAGUUUAAAGGUGCUUCUGGCACCGCUGAUGGAUGAGCCUGCGGCGCAUUAGCUAGUUGGUAGGGUAAAGGCCUACCAAGGCGACGAUGCGUAGCCGACCUGAGAGGGUGAACGGCCACACUGGGACUGAGACACGGCCCAGACUCCUACGGGAGGCAGCAGUAGGGAAUCUUCGGCAAUGGGCGAAAGCCUGACCGAGCAACGCCGCGUGAAUGAUGAAGGCCUUCGGGUUGUAAAAUUCUGUUAUAAGGGAAGAACGACUUUAGUAGGAAAUGGCUAGAGUGUGACGGUACCUUAUGAGAAAGCCACGGCUAACUACGUGCCAGCAGCCGCGGUAAUACGUAGGUGGCGAGCGUUAUCCGGAAUUAUUGGGCGUAAAGAGCGCGCAGGUGGUUGAUUAAGUCUGAUGUGAAAGCCCACGGCUUAACCGUGGAGGGUCAUUGGAAACUGGUCGACUUGAGUGCAGAAGAGGGAAGUGGAAUUCCAUGUGUAGCGGUGAAAUGCGUAGAGAUAUGGAGGAACACCAGUGGCGAAGGCGGCUUCCUGGUCUGUAACUGACACUGAGGCGCGAAAGCGUGGGGAGCAAACAGGAUUAGAUACCCUGGUAGUCCACGCCGUAAACGAUGAGCGCUAAGUGUUGGGGGUCGAACCUCAGUGCUGAAGUUAACGCAUUAAGCACUCCGCCUGGGGAGUACGGUCGCAAGACUGAAACUCAAAUGAAUUGACGG